UAGAACGACUCUCGGCAACGGAUAUCUCGGCUCUCGCAUCGAUGAAGAACGUAGCGAAAUGCGAUACGUGGUGUGAAUUGCAGAAUCCCGUGAACCAUCGAGUCUUUGAACGCAAGUUGCGCCCGAAGCCUUCAGGUUGAGGGCACGUCUGCCUGGG
rnacentral:rRNA from 1 species